rnacentral:rRNA from 1 species
AUUGAACGCUGGCGGCAGGCCUAACACAUGCAAGUCGAGCGGAUGAAGGGAGCUUGCUCCUGGAUUCAGCGGCGGACGGGUGAGUAAUGCCUAGGAAUCUGCCUGGUAGUGGGGGAUAACGUCCGGAAACGGGCGCUAAUACCGCAUACGUCCUGAGGGAGAAAGUGGGGGAUCUUCGGACCUCACGCUAUCAGACGAGCCUAGGUCGGAUUAGCUAGUUGGUGGGGUAAAGGCCUACCAAGGCGACGAUCCGUAACUGGUCUGAGAGGAUGAUCAGUCACACUGGAACUGAGACACGGUCCAGACUCCUACGGGAGGCAGCAGUGGGGAAUAUUGGACAAUGGGCGAAAGCCUGAUCCAGCCAUGCCGCGUGUGUGAAGAAGGCCUUCGGAUUGUAAAGCACUUUAAGUUGGGAGGAAGGGCAGUAAGUUAAUACCUUGCUGUUUUGACGUUACCAACAGAAUAAGCACCGGCUAACUUCGUG